CUGCUUGUGGUCAGACAUCAACAUAACACACUGUCUCGGCGGGAUGUCGUACCCGCACCUGGGAGAGAAGACGCUUAUGUCAUAGAACAGAGAUUAAUAAAUUGUUUCAUCUUAUCAGGACAUUUCACGCUGCCGAGUCUGAGCCGAAACUGAAGGACACCUUGACAAUGUAAAUGGAAUUGCGAUUAUAAUGAUCUGAAGAUCACUAGGAGGGCAAAGAGCAAAGGAUCGCGCAGACAUUUUGGGAGACAGCUCAGCAAAUAAAAAGAAGAAGAAAAGCUGCAGACUUUGAUUUUAUAAGACAGACUGGAUCAGAGUCAAAGCUGCCACAUGCUGUGUGAAAAAUGCCACCCCGGUGUGAACAAAGGGCUUAAAAUGGAGUCAAAAAGCAUGGAAACUCUACGUCUAAGCCUUUCCUGGUCAUUGUACUGCCACAACCUGCAGGACGUCAAGUGGGCUGGAAAGAAUAGAGUGCUUGGAGAGAUUACUGUUGACAGUGAAACGCAUAGGGAUUUUUUUAAGGAUUAGAAGCGUAAAUAAAUCCAGUGUUUAUAUGAUGUAUAGAUAAAAAUAAAAAUAACCGCAUACUUAUAGUAUGCAUAAUAUGUGAUUUAUAUAUGAUGACACCUGGAAUUAUGAUUAAGUUUUUAUAUAACACUAUGGAAUAAAAAAAUAAGCUCAUUGCAAAAAAGAAAAAUUGUCACUUUUGCUCAGUAAUACAUUAUCAUAAGAGUCAUCACUAGCUAUUAUAGCACUUGAAUUUAAUAGGCAGCACGGACAGUGUAAUGGUUAGCAUUACUGCCUCCCAGCGCUGAGGUCAUGGGUUAAUUUCCCACUAUGGCCAUAACUGUGUGGAGUUUGUAUAUUCUCCCUCACGCUUGCGUGGGUUUCCUCCGGGUACUCCGGUUUCCUCCCACAAUCCAAAAAUAUACUGAUAGGUUAAUUGGCUUCAAACAAAAUUAACCCUAUUGUGAAUGUGUGUGUGUGUACAUGUGGUAGGGAAUAUAGAUUAUAAGCUCCACUGGGGCAGGGACUGAUGCGAAUGGCCAAAUAUUCUCUGUAAAGUGCUGCGGAACAUGUUGGUGCUAUAUAAAUAACUGGUAAUAAAUAACAAUAAAUGAUUACAUUAUUUCUUUGGGAA